rnacentral:lncRNA from 1 species
AGUAGCAACAUCAGCUCAUAAAGCUACAAGAGAGAGGCAGUGCUCCCUGGCACACUCACUCUCACCUGUCUGCCGCAGCUGCACCUUGGUACUGGCUUCUGCAUCUCAUUGUCCAUGGUCUUCUCAGUCCACAGAAGUGACACAAAGGCCUGCCACCACUGCCCAGCACCCAUCCCCUCCUCUGCACUCUCCCACUCUCCUGUUUCCAUCCUGGAUGUCUGUUAUCUCCAAAGCAGUUUUGAAAGGGUCCUCACUCUCGCCCGGAAGCAGCAGGGCACCCAGGGCAUGGUCUCAGGCUUGAAUGACAAAGGGGUCCUAUUUCCUGGCAGGUGUGGCAAGAAUGUCCUCCCCAACUGUAAUUUUCACAUGGGGAAAAUUAAAUCAGCUUCUUUGGCACCUCAGCCCCCAAAUAUUUUACUGCAUUGCUGUUGGCAACUUAUCCUAACUAGGUUGAUUUUCAGAUUCAGUCCAAAAGCCAAACAGGAAACAAACCUUUUUCUUCGGUUCUUUCUUUCCAGCCUCACUCAUCUACAGAGUCUGCUUUCCACACUACUAUGUGGGCAGAAAGCCCUUUGCUAUCAAUGAUUGUAAAUACAAUAAAUCCCCCAACUGUGUGUGUGCACAUAAAGGAUGCAUGCAUGCUGUAUGGAGUGUGUGUGUGUGUGUGUGUGUGUGUGUGUGUGUGUGUGUGUGUGUGUGUGUGUAUGUGUGUGUGUUUUAAAAGAUCCAGAAAUUCAGGACAUUUUUCAGGAAGGUUUUCAUUGAGUUAAAAAGCACCCCAGUGAACCAGUUAGAACUGUACAGAGGUUGUAGUGGCAACUCGCAAAUGGUUUGACAGAUAGGGCAAGGCUGGGUAAUUGAAAACCAAGUGACUGAGUGUAGGUUUUUCCAUGGUAGAAAUACAGCAAGUUCUUGGGGGAAGAAUUGACGGGUACAAGCUGUAUUCACAGCCUUUGGAGGAAUGGGAUCUGUCUGAGAUUAGGCACAGGAGAUUGGGGAAGGGUAAGAGCAGUGUGAGGAGAGAUCUAUCAGUGUACGUGCACCUGGCCGGGUCAGGGGUCAGAGGUGUGGGGCAUUUGGGGAUGAAUCGGGAUACUCUCUUCCUGUGAUGCUGCCACUUGACUAAAUGACCUUUGAUUGGCUCUUUGUUUUAAAUAAAGUGUUUAUCCUAAAAUGGGUUCUAAGGGGAUCCAUCCCUUCUGCUCUUGUGCCAGCCCCAUGCUGUGCUGCUGUUUCUUCUGCCUGCAAAUCUCACUUCCUUAACAAGCCUCCAAGUCUUAGCUCUCCCAUUUGUUCCCUGGUGCAACCUCUUUGCUCUGCGUGCUGUGCAUGCUGCACCAUCUGUAUGUCCUCCUUGGGCUCAGCAUUCCUGCCUUUUGCUGCUUUUGACCUCCUGGUUGGAUGGCAGUGAUGACAAGGGCCUUCCCUUCCCCCACAGCAUCCCCAUGUCCAUCUCUGCCUCCCAGAUCGCCUCAACUCUGCCAUUGUAUGAUUUUGCUGGAACUCUCAAGACUGACUCAUGACUAACUAGAGGCAUAGUCUGUUCUCUGCCGCAGAAAUCUGCUUAGAUGACAUCUCUUUCAACAACAGAUCUGGGGCUUGUUCUGCAUUUUUUUUUUUUUUGUCAAAGAGACUCUGAUGAAUCUUUGGUGACACCCAUAUAAUGUCAAAGAUUUAUGCUCAGCCUUCUGAACAGCCAUAACUUCACAGUUUUCAACUUGGAGUUAAACACUAAGUGUCUAUGUAAAAGUUUAAGUUUGUUUGAGACACAAAGCCAGAGCAGAACCUUAACCGAAAUGAAGAGUGGAUCUAAGAACCAAAAUACAAGUAGACCAGAGCCACAGCCUUCCCCUGACCCUGCCCAGGGGCAGCAGGUGAAGCCAGAAGGGCUCCAGCAGCCUUUAGGUCUGAAUGAAGGACGUCCAGACAUAGCGAGGGUAUUUGCUUUAGAGAAGGCAUUCCAGGCAGAGAUAUGAAUUAUGUAGGGAGAGUAGGCAAACCUCAAGAUUUAAAAGGGUCUCAUCAUCUAUCAUUCUGUUCUUAAGUAAAGGCAGGGUUGCCAUAGCAACACACCACAGGCUGAGUGGCUUAAACAACAUAAAUUUAUUUGCUCACAGUUCUGAAAACUGGAAACCCAAGGUCAGAGUGCCAGCAGGGCUGGCUUCCUCUGAGGCUUUCUGCUCUGGCUUACAGAUAAUCUGUCUCCCUACAUGCCUUACAUGGUCAGUCCUUGGCACACAGCCACCCUUAGGGUCUUUGUGUGUCCAAAUCUCUUAUUAUAAUGAGUCAGUUGAGUUUAGAGCCCAUCUUCACAUUCUAAUUUCAAAUUAAUCAUAUCCUUAAAGGUCUUAUUGCCAAGUGGAAUCACAUUCUAAGUUACAGGUGGUUAGGGAUUUGAUAUAUAGAUUUCAGAGGAAGCGGAAUUCAGCAUAGAACAAGAACCCAACAGAACCCUUGUUUGAACACAAAUGGUCAUCACUGCUAGUCUUUCUGGAGUUUUGUGCUGUGCCUAGUGUUGCUAUAGCUAUUUCCCAUUGAUUAGUCCAUCUUUCCUUCACAGUCGGGUUACAUGGAAUAGAUUAUGUAGAUGAUGAGGCGAUUAUAGAUGGCUGCCAUUUCUUCUGAAACAUGGUCAGCUUGCUUUUGUGUACUGCGUGGCCCUGGGGAAUACUGUCCUCCAGCCUUGAAUCCCUGCUGCUAAAUGUGAUUUGGAAUAGUGGGGGGGGGGGGGGAUCUUAUCUCCAUGCUUUGAUCAACAGACAGUCUCUGGAAGGAGUAAGGCUAUGUUUCUCAACCCAUUACCAAAAGCCUCCCCUGAGUCAGGAGAUGGUACAGUAUGAAUUGGUAAACCAUGGUCUCUUACAGAGACCUUACACUAACUGCCUUUUCUAUAUAUCAGAGCUUCCUCCUGAAUUAUUUGGCUGAAUCAUCAACACUAAGAUCUACAGGACAUACUCAUUCCCGCUAGCCAGUCCUCAGCACACCACUGUUCACUCUUACCAAACACUUGAACUACAGUUGCUAAUUUAAUUCACCUAGUAAGCC